rnacentral:lncRNA from 1 species
CGUCUUCACAAACUUCCUCGUCAGAUUUUACCUCGAUCAGAGAACCCAUUUGGAAAGAGAGAAUUUUGCCGCCUCUUGAGUUCCUCUGGCUGUGAGGUGUUUACUGCAUUACCCAUUUUUUGGGCGCUCUUCUAGUUUGUAUGUACUCUGCUAGGCAUCUCGACCACCAACCAAAGUACAAGCCUACUUUUACGGAGUGCAAGUUUGGCCAUGGACAUUGAAGUCUUCUUUUCAUUCGUAGAUCGACAAGUUCGAACAAUUUAGCACGCACUAAGUUAUGUCUGAUGAUACCUAAACAUGAUCAAAUAAUG